rnacentral:rRNA from 1 species
UGUAUAUAUGUUGUCAGCUCGUGCCGUAAGGUGUUAAGUCUCGCAAAUAAGCGUUACCCUCGUAUUUAGUUGUCAUCAUUAAGUUUGGAACAUCGAACAAAUUAUCAGCAAUAAAUUGGAGAAAGGUAAAGAUGACGUCAAGUUAUCAUA